AUAUGUGCCACUUACUGCUUUUCCUGCUAUUUAUGAUAUUUCCCUAUAAAUAGGAUGGGGAAUUUUCAAAAGUAGCACUUAAGAUGUUAUUUUAAAACGUUAAUUUUUAAAGGCUGUGCAUUGUAUUGGAAAAUUCUUGAUCAUAACUUUUUUGUGUUGAUCAAGUAAAGCGUUCAGUAACAAGUCUGGUUUCCAGUGAAUGUUUUCAUGCAUGUAGACCUUGGUAUGCCUUCUGUUAGUAGCACACUUUGCACUCUCUAGCCCUCCUAGUCAUUAUGACCAGUAAAGAAUGGCACCAUUGGCUUGGUAUGUACACUGUGCUCUGCACACUGCUUAAACUUGCUGUCAAAUGACUCCUUAAAUGAAAAUUGGGAUGCUGAAAAUUAUAGUAGUGGUGACACUAUACUUCCAGUUCCACUGCAUGCAGCUGCAGAUCACUGGGAACCGGGUCUCAUGUAGAACAAAGAACUUGUAGGCCAGGCCAUGUCAUCCUCUUCCUUCCUCCUGUCUCAGGUACAACAUGUUUUUUCAUGACACUGAUUUCCUGCGGUCUCAUCUUCUCAUUUUCCUGUUUUCCCUCCAGGCUGGAUACUGCUGACAAUGUUUGCUCCUGCCCCAGGCCAGAGGCAACCAACCAAUGCACCCUUUCUUGGACUACCAGUUUAAUAUUGUUUGGUCUAGCUUGAAAUGUGGCAGUCAUGACGUCAACAUUUACAAAAAGCUGUACUUUAUAGCAAGCUUUAAUAGACAUCAUUCAAGGUUUGGACAAGAUUUCUUAUAAGGCAAUCUGCUCCAAAUCGAUCCCAGAUCCUCCAAUGCCCAUUUUGGGUGAGCUAUUUCCAUCUUUAUAACCAUACAGAUGUGUUCCAUGUGUAGCCAAAUGAAAUCAUUGUGAUGAAGUCUGACAUGAAAUGCUUGAAAGUUGUUACAAAUGUCUGUUAAAAGAUUGUGUGCUGUUAAUGUGGAUUUUGAGAUAUUAAAGGAUCAACUCACAGAAAUGUAUACAGUAUAGCUUGAGUUCACAAGACAUGAGAAAGUGCAGAAUCAAAUCUGUUUUCAAGCUUCAUGGGGUUAAUUUUACAUAGAUAUGCUGUGGACCAGGUGGCGUGUUCCUCUGCUGUAUGGUGUGGAUGAGAGAAGAGAAGGGGAAAAGGAGAAGGAAAGACUUCUAAGCUAGUAGAAACGGGAAAUAGUGACCCUGCAUCCUUCUUUCUCCCCUUUCCUGCUUUGCAUUCAGAAUCCCCUCUGAAUGGCUGGAAUCCACUGGUUUGGUGGGAGGGUGUGUUGGGCCUGGAAGAGGAAUAGCUGAUCUGUGUAGCAUGCUGCCCUCCAGAGUUGGUAGAUUUCCAGAUUUCUUGCUCCAACCAGCACUAACUUGCACUAAGUUUUUUCCCCUUGGAGGUGGAAAGACUGUGGCCCAGCUGCAAUAAGGGAAGUGAACAGCUGCAAGGGUCCAGGAGGAAUUUCAUUGCCUCUUUCCGGUGGGGAAAGACUUAAUUUUAAGAUAGCUGAUUCUGCUCUAUUUUUCUAAUUUGAAUUGGAUUUAUUGCCCAUGUUGUACUGUUCUUGACUAAUGACAAUCCAAACUUCCUCACAUUGUCCUGCCAAUGUGCCAGAACCUUGUUUCACAGUUUCAGGGUAACUGCACCUAGAUCUCCUCUCUGUGGUCCAUUCCAGGAAUAUCCA
rnacentral:lncRNA from 1 species